ACAACAUUGGGACUGUCGAGCAAUAUCACCCGCUCGGUGGAAGAUCUUCCCUUUGUCGU
rnacentral:pre_miRNA from 1 species